rnacentral:tRNA from 1 species
GGUUCCAUAGUGUAGUGGUGAUCACGUCUGCUUUACACGCAGAAGGCCCUGGGUUCAAGCCCCAGUGGAACCA